rnacentral:rRNA from 1 species
GAUUGAACGCUGGCGGUAUGCUUAACACAUGCAAGUCGAACGGAAACGAUACUAGCUUGCUAGUAGGCGUCGAGUGGCGGACGGGUGAGUAACGCGUAGGAAUCUGCCUGAUAGUGGGGGAUAGCCCGAAGAAAUUCGGAUUAAUACCGCAUAAUCUAUUCGUAGUAAAGUGGGGGACUUUCGAGCCUCACGCUAUCAGAUGAGCCUGCGUAAGAUUAGCUUGUUGGUAGGGUAAAAGCCUACCAAGGCGACGAUCUUUAGCUGGUCUGAGAGGAUGAUCAGCCACAUCGGGACUGAGACACGGCCCGAACUCCUACGGGAGGCAGCAGUGGGGAAUAUUGGACAAUGGGGGCAACCCUGAUCCAGCAAUACCGCGUGUGUGAAGAAGGCCUGAGGGUUGUAAAGCACUUUCAAUUGUGAAGAAAAGUUAGCGGUUAAUAACCGUUAGCCUUGACGUUAACUUUAGAAGAAGCACCGGCUAACUCCGUGCCAGCAGCCGCGGUAAUACGGAGGGUGCAAGCGUUAAUCGGAAUUACUGGGCGUAAAGCGUGCGUAGGCGGUUUAUUAAGUCAGAUGUGAAAGCCCCGGGCUUAACCUGGGAACUGCAUUUGAAACUGGUCAACUAGAGUAUGGUAGAGGAAAGUGGAAUUUCUGGUGUAGCGGUGAAAUGCGUAGAUAUCAGAAGGAACAUCAAUGGCGAAGGCAGCUUUCUGGACCAAUACUGACGCUGAGGUACGAAAGCGUGGGUAGCAAACAGGAUUAGAUACCCUGGUAGUCCACGCCGUAAACGAUGAUAACUAGCCGUUGGGGGGAUUUACCCUUUAGUGGCGAAGCUAACGCGUUAAGUUAUCCGCCUGGGGAGUACGGCCGCAAGGUUAAAACUCAAAGGAAUUGACGGGGACCCGCACAAGCGGUGGAGCAUGUGGUUUAAUUCGAUGCAACGCGAAGAACCUUACCUGGUCUUGACAUCCUGCGAACUUUCUAGAAAUAGAUUGGUGCCUUCGGGAACGCAGUGACAGGUGCUGCAUGGCUGUCGUCAGCUCGUGUCGUGAGAUGUUGGGUUAAGUCCCGUAACGAGCGCAACCCCUAUCCUUAUUUGCCAGCACAUCAUGGUGGGAACUAUAAGGAGACUGCCGGUGAUAAACCGGAGGAAGGCGGGGACGACGUCAAGUCAUCAUGGCCCUUACGACCAGGGCUACACACGUGCUACAAUGGGAAGGACAAAGAGCCGCGAAGCCGCGAGGUGUAGCUAAUCUCAUAAACCUUUUCGUAGUCCGGAUUGGAGUCUGCAACUCGACUCCAUGAAGUCGGAAUCGCUAGUAAUCGUAGAUCAGAAUGCUACGGUGAAUACGUUCCCGGGUCUUGUACACACC